CACAUAUAAUCGACAAUAUUGUCAAAUUUUUGACAUGAUUGUCUCAGAAUAUUUUUGUGCACAAAGUAUUUUUUUUUAUUUGUAUAAUAACGUUCAUACGCUUUUUAUAUUCAAUUUAACAUAAUAAUUGUAAGUAUCAAUCGAGAUCUGGAUAGUUAGUUUUCCAUUUUUAGGGUUUCACAUUUAAGUUUUUAAAUUGCAAGACUGGCGUGAGGAGCUAAAUAAUGUGUUUGAGUUGUUUUUUAGGGUUCCUUGCCCAAAGGGUACAAAGGACCCUCUAUUACUGACUGUCCGUCUGUAUGUCACCAGGCUGUAUCUCAUGAACCGUGAUAGCUAGACAGUUGAAAUUUUCACAGAUGAUGUAUUUCUGCUGCCGCUAAAAUAGUAGGCUGAUUGGUUACCUGUAAUACUUUGUGAUUUCCCGAUAGUUUCAGUACACUCGGCGUCACGGAAAUCGCACACCUUCAUAUCUUUUAUUUAUUUAAAUCAGGUAACACUAACAAGGCCCAUAUUACAAAUACCUUACAGACUAUAUAUACAGGGUGGCUAAUAAACAUAUGUUCAUAUGGUGCGAGCGAUUCUAACUCAUAAUGAAGUAGUUUUGCAAGUAGUUUUUCACCUCAGCAGCUCGAACAAGCCUACUUUCGUCACUCCAGGGAGUGAAACAAUGUAGCUUGUUAAUUUAGUGAAGGCCAUGAACUUCAUACUUUUAUUACAUUUUUUUAUGGUACGGUACGGUCCGGUCCGGUCCGGUCCGGUCUCGUAUCGUAUCGUAUCGUAUCUUAUCGUAUCGUACAUAUUAUAAUACUUUAUUUUCUGUUUAUUCUGUGUAAUUAGAAAUACAUUUUAACCUUUAAUAUGUUCUCACUACUGAGGUGAAAAAUUAUGUGUGCAACACGAGAGCAAAGUUAUUUUACAUCUCGUGUUUAUGAGUCCCUCGCUACGCUCAAGAUUCUACCUUAGAAUCACUCGCUUCGCUCGUGAUUCAAUUAUAGAAUCUUUCGCUUUCUCGGGACUCAAAAUAAACACUCGCAAGAAAAACCAACUUUCCUCUCUUGUUGCACAAAUAACUAUUGUUUACGUGUUUUAUAUAUUGUUAAGAUUGUCGCCCUUUGAAAGAAUCGCUUGCGUCAUAGUAUAAACAGGGCAAAGUUUCUCAGUGCGCAGGUCGAGAUUUUAUUUGAAUGUGCGUGCGGCGACCAUAGAUACAAGUCGCGUGCGGUGCGUUAGUAUGAAGAUAACAUACUUUGCCCUGUUUAUACUAUGCUUGCGCCCUAAGGUAUGUGUAAUGUGAUUUCCGUGACGUUGAGUGUAUAUUGAUUUUCUACUUUAUUGUUAUAAUCAUAAAGUCUAUUAUAAGGUUCAUUAUAUUAUAACGUGUACGUAUAGAGUCAGACCACGACAAGUAUGCAACGAUUUCGACAGCACACGCAGUGCCAGUGUUAUUUAUACGUCAAAAUUUCAUAGAAGUAUGACAUUUAAAAUAACACUUGCACUGCGUGUGCCAUCAAAAUCGUUGCAGACUUUUCCUGGUCUAACUCUAUUUUAAAUAUCGACUUCGCUUAUAAACUACGCUUCUCACGCCUCGUCAAUAGUUCAAAUUUGGAUGGUAUAGAAAGGAUGCCAAUCUCUUAUGGCAGAAUUGUUGCAAAAGUGACCGCUUUCAGCUUUAAAUAAUAGUUCCUAAUCUCUCCGGUGGCGCUAGUUAGGCUCUGGGACAUGAGUAUAACAUGAACCAUAUAAGGCAACAAAUAACCCGACCAAAUUACAUAGGUUGUUUUUGGUAGUAUUUCGGUGUAUGGUGGCGCCGCCUAAUUACUGUUUUUUGAUGGACACUUUUCAUACAUAGAGAUUUGGCUCCUUUAUAUAGUCUCCAUGGUUCAAAUAUUACCAGACCAUUCUGUUAUGUACCUUAUGUUGUAUUAGUUAAGUCCAUUUGUCCAAAACUUGUCAAAAACCUGUUUACGGUACAGAAUAUAUAAGUUAUACUCUAUGGUUUACUAAAAAGGCUAGUGCUGUACUCUGGUGGCAGAACAUUGCAGUAAUAUCCCCUAUUAAUUAGAGUUUGAGAACAUAUGUGACGUUUUCAACUAAAAGGUACCACAUUGUCGCUUGUUGAUAAGGUUGAUUUCUAAUUGAAGCUAUAUGGAAAUAGCGCCUUACUGACAAUUGACAAUAAGUACCCUUUUGGUUGAAAAUGGCACAUAUGACCUCUCUUAUGUCCCAAACGUUAUGUGUAGUAAAAGUACACAAUGUACAAAAUUGUAUGUGAUUUUGAACAAAACGAGUCUACGGAAUGUUCUAUUUAUAUAUGUCUUACGGUUUUAACUUGGAUGGUGUUAUGCAGAAUAUAAGCACAUACAGUCACGUCUAAAAAUAUCGAUACGAAGUGCCAAAAAUAUGUAUUUUAAAUGGGUUGGGGUAAGAUUGAAAUGCUUUUUCAUGAGGGGUGAGCCAAAAAAUCAUCGGUAUGCCGAGGCAUUACGGGCGACUGUUCAUCUUAUCCCUCAUGAAAAACCCUUUCAAUCUUAUCCCAACGCAACCACGACCUUAUUGCCCAUAUAUUAAAGUAGAUUAUACAUAUUUUUGUCACUGUUAGUAUCGAUAUUUUUAGACGUGACUGUAGUAUUUCAUGUAAGAAAGUAAAAAUAACAAAUUUAAAUAAGUUAGAAAGACACGAGUUUCCGUUCUCUUUUAUUCUCCAUAUGACAGGAAUUUAAUAAAGGUAGAUAUUAAGUAGUUGCUUUCGUUGAUUAAAAAGAAUUAUUCGUAAUUAAAAUAAGGCUUAAUAAAUGUGUUAUUUGUAUUUUUUUAGCAAUAAAUCAGUUUUAUUUGGAUAUAUUCUACAUAACACCGUCCUUAUCCUUAUACUGGUGAACAUUGUACAUAACAUUAACUGCUUUGUGAUUAGAAUGAUAAUUUUAUUACAGUGUAAACGUGCCUUAAUAUUUUGGAAGCCAUAUUUUGUAAAUAUAUUUAUAGACAUUUUU